GCAGCGGAGCGUGUGGUUUAAUUCGAGGCUACGCGAAGAACCUUACCUGGGUUUGACAUAUGAGUGGUAGGAACCGAAAGGCGACCGACCUUCGGGGAGCUUGCACAGGUGCUGCAUGGCUGUCGUCAGCUCGUGUCGUGAGAUGUUCGGUUAAGUCCGCUAACGAGCGCAACCCUCGCUGUGUGUUACAAGUGUCACACGGUACUGCCGGUCUUAAGCCGGAGGAAGGUGGGGAUGACGUCAAGUCAGCAUGGCCUUUAUGUCCUGGGCUACACACACGCUACAAUGGCCAACACAAUAGGUUGCUAAGCCGCGAGGUGGAGCCAAUCCUCAAAGUUGGUCUCAGUUCAGAUUGCAGGCUGCAACCCGCCUGCAUGAAGAUGGAGUUGCUAGUAACCGCAGGUCAGCUAUACUGCGGUGAAUACGUUCCCGGGGCUU
rnacentral:rRNA from 1 species